UACGUAGGGUGCGAGCGUUGUCCGGAAUUAUUGGGCGUAAAGAGCUUGUAGGCGGUCUGUCGCGUCUGCUGUGGAAAAUCCGGGGCUCAACCCCGGACUUGCAGUGGGUACGGGCAGACUAGAGUGUGGUAGGGGAGACUGGAAUUCCUGGUGAUAGCGGUGAAAUGCGCAGAUAUCAGGAGGAACACCGAUGGCGAAGGCAGGUCUCUGGGC
rnacentral:rRNA from 1 species